UAAAAGGAUGCACUUUUGCGUGCUACAUCAAUAACAAAGUAAGUGAUAAAUAACAUCUCCGAUAUACAUUAAUCAAGGAGGAAGAGAUGAAGAGAAAGGGGGUAAGGAGCUAGUUUUGCACAACCAAAACCCUUCAAUAAUUAUAAUUAGGAAAGCAAUAUAUAAGAACAAUUAUUGAACAAUUCACAGUUUAUAUUAACUUCCAAUGUUAAAACUAGAUAAUUGACAUUAACGUAUUCAGGUUUUUGUGACGUGCAAGAUUCAUUCCUGAGGGGAAAGAAGAGGUAAAAUAGCAGAAACAACAGAAUCAAUGCUCUAAGAAUGAAUUUCUUUGUUUCCUCUUAAAAGCAGUCUAUAAUGUUGUUAGAUAAACUAUAAGAGUAUUUAAACAACCAUUGAGAUAGAACAAUGAACAGACAACCAGAACUGCAACAACACCUGUGCUAGUGCAUAAAGCAUCUG
rnacentral:misc_RNA from 1 species